CCAAAGCUUUCGUCGCUGCUUCAUUCUUCUCCUUCACGCUUACAGACCCCGUUUCUGAUGUUCAUCCUUCUCCUUCUUCAACUUCUUUGAUCCAUCUGGUGGUUGGCGAACGACGUCAUGAGUUUGAUUUAGGUUGAUUCAUCGUAUUCAUUUCUUCAUCUUCUUAAUCUGGCUUGACUCUUUUAAUUUCAUCACUGGUGAUAUUCCCUUCAUCAUCAUCGUCAGUUCUUACAUCUCUUGAUUUUCUUCAAGGUAAAGUGGUGGCUCUUCUCUCAAACCCUAAUUCUCAAUUUUGCUUCAAUUAUCUGCAGUCCAAAAGACUACAAUUAUCAGAUUACCUCUACACCAUUCUAUUGUUCAUUUGGUAUCUGUAACCAGCAUGUUCCCAUUGAAGACGCCAAUAAGGUGAGCCAUCUUUCUACUGUACAGACAAUUCUACACAUUCAAAGAUAGCGAUUCAAUUCUUCGAUCAGUUAGUGCCUUAUGUAUUGAGCUCUUUUUGUUCCUUUGAACGAGACGGUUGCCAUCAAGGUUCUUGAUUUGGAAAAAGUGUAAUAAUGACCUGCUGUUGUAGGGUCCCUUCCCUCUUCUUUUUCGGGGUUGGAGAUGUGCCACAAUUCCAGGAUAAUUUGAGGGUCUAAUAAAAUGGCAAAAGGCAGUAUACAUAGGGCUCCAAACGACGAUUGGUUGCCAUUGGAAGGCACGAAAUGAAUGGGUUUUAUUACAAACGAUGCGGGACUGAGAACUUGACCAUUGUAAGAGCUUUUUAGUUUAAUUUGUUCCUUUGUAGAUUGGUUAUCUCGCUCAAAGUUGCGAUCCACACUGAUAGAUGACAAAGAAAUCAGAUGGAGCAUAAUGCCAGAGAUGUUACUACUCAAAUGCUACUGGGUAAAUGCUCAUUAUUACUUCAUUUUGUCAGUAAAAUGAAUAAAUUACUUAUUUUUAUGAUUUAAAAACAAGUGCCAAUCAUGGGAGAAGGAUAUUGAAAUGAAAGAAAUGGAAGAGCUUAUGGGCCUACUAACAUACUUGGGAAUUUUCUUUUUAGCCAGACCAUGCAGAAGAAAACAAUAUAACUGGUUCGGGUUGUAGGUUUGAAAAAAACCGAACCGUAUCUAUCUGUAACCAGAAAAAAUACGAACCGAGCUAUGAAUUUGGAUUGGUUUGGUUUUCGGUUCCACAAAUCUUGCUUAUUCAGAUAACUGAAACGAUUCGGUUAGACACAAUUGUAAUCGGGAUCGGUUUGGUUUCAGCUUAUCUCAAAUAACAAAAGACUAUCUUGUUGUGCCAUUUUUUUAAUUUUUUGAUUUUUUUAUUUUUUUUUAUUUAGUCAAGAUGGGUUAGGAUGGGUUUUAAAAUACCCAUCUAAAUUUUAACAUGGGUCAGGAUGGGUUUAGAUGACAAAUGUAAAAAUUCUUAUUGAGUGUAUGAUGGGCAUCACACAUGAAUUCAUUGUUUAUGGAGUGUAUGAUGGGCAUCACAUGUAUUAUGAAGCAGAUGACAAAUCAACGUUUUGGGGAUCGAUAAAGGAAGAUUAUGCUGCAAUUAAUCCUCCCAGUGGUUUUCAAGGUGGGACAUUAGUGCGAUGCCGCAACUACCAGAAUAUAUAAAACCAUUCUGCGAAAUUAUAAUGAAUUAGUAUGCUGAAUUCAACAAACAAGGAUUAACUGAUCUUACUGAGGCUUCAAAAAAAACUGUUUUGACAAACCAACGCACUCUAAUUUUCAAUUGCAUAUUCAGCUCCAGAGAGAGAGAUUUAAGGCUCAGAUUCCUCUUUCCGGUUAUCAGAUCUCUGCCGUGAGCCGGCCCCAUGGUGUCUUCCAGACCCCCCGGGUAGCGUGGCUCGGUGGGUUGGGUACAAUCGGGUGCAAUCGAUGAUGGGAAACGGAUCUUUUUACAAUCCUGAAAAGAUUAUUGGGGUUGAUUGUUGUGAGAAAUCAUAUUGAAUCUGAAUAUAACUUCAUGUAUUUUAUUUUUGUGAGAACCGUAGACUUCUAAAACGUAGUGAAGAAGUCUUUUUUCAAGUUUAGGGACUUAUUCAUGAAAAAAAGACUUUUUCAUUUAUAUUUUGAUAUGUACAAGGAUUUUAUCUCCCAAAAUAGAAAUUUUAUGUUAGUAACAAAGCGUGAGGACUUUAUUGU